CUGUCUGUCUGUCUGUCUGUCUCUCUCUCUCUCUCUCUCUCUCUCUCUCUCUCUGUCUCUCUCUCUCACCCCAACUGGUCGAGACAGACGACCACCCACCUAAAGCCGAAGGAUCUGUCCUAGGUUUCUGCCUUUUAACAGGCAGUUUUUCCUUGCCCUUGUCUCCAAGGUCUUGCUCAUGGUGGUACUGUUGGGUCUCUGUAAUUAAUGUUUUAAAGAGUUCGGUCUAGACCUGCUCUAUUUGAAAAGUGUCCUGAGAUAACUUCUGUUAUGAAUUGGCGCUAUACAAAUAAAAUUGAAUUGAAUUGAAAUUGAA